CUGGGAUUGGCCGAGGCUCGGGGGCGGGGCUGCCGGGACAGCGCAAGCCGCGGCGGCUCGGGAUGCCCGGCUCGGGCCGUAGCUGCGAGGCCCUGCUUCACGCCGCCCGUCUAGGUGCUGGGAGGCAGGGCAAGGGAUGCCUUUCUGCUGCCACUUUGUCUUGGCAUUCAAGAGGGUGCCCAGCCGCGCUUUAGAGAGAUUUGCGGUAGUCGGAGUCCGUCGGACAAAUGAGGAAACUGAGGGCGAGAAGUGGGAAGCGGAGCCAUCUCCUGGGCCGCGCAGCCUGCUGAGCGAAAGCCGGGGACCAAGACCUCGGGGUCUGCGCUCCCAGGCCCGCUGGGGUCGGUGGGUGUGGGGGGCAGGAGCCCGGCUCCGUCCCCUGCACCCCACUGCACCCCUCGCCGCCGGAGGAGACUCCCUGGAGGAGGAGCUCAGGACGCGGAGGAGGAGCCAGGACAGCCCCUGCGAGCGGGACACGAUCCUCCAAGAUAAGAGGCCGAGCCCGGGAGGAAGCCCGUCAGCCGGGCCAGCCGAGAAAGCUCCGGGAGCGGCCUCAUGGAAGAGAAGCAGAUCCUGUGCGUGGGGCUAGUGGUGCUGGACAUCAUCAAUGUGGUGGACAAGUACCCGGAGGAGGACACGGACAGCAGGUGUUUGUCGCAGAGGUGGCAGCGUGGAGGCAACGCUUCCAACUCCUGCACGGUUCUCUCCCUGCUCGGAGCCCCCUGUGCCUUCAUGGGCUCGCUGGCCCCGGGCCACGUUGCCGAACUCUGCGGUGGCUGAUGUGACUUUGCCCUUCUCAAGUCCCUUUUCCUGACUGUGCUUGUGCAGAAGGCAGUUAGGGACAUGCUGUACCCGCCCUCCCUCAGGGAUGUUCCGCAUCCAAGGUCCCAGGGUCCAGGCCCACAGUUUCUUUUCCAGCUGAGGGGCAGGGCCGGUGCUCAUGUCCCCAUUGUUCUCUGAGGCGUAGAGAGCUCCCCCUGCAAAGAGCCCCUGAUGCUCCGGGCUCAUGCGGGGCCCAGACCCAUGCCUCCCAGCUCAUCGGCCUGGAGACUGCAGCCCGCAGCGGCCCACACACUUUCUCUGCGUUGGCUGCCACGGGGACCCAAGAGCCCUUUGACCCCUGGCACUGCCGAUUCAGCAAGCACUUAUCAGGAGGUGAGGCCUACACUUUGCCCACUGUGGGCACAGAGGCAGGCUGCCAGGCUGCUGGCCUGUAGAGCACAGCCCUUUGAACCCUGCUUUGAGAGGGGCUGCGGCCAGAGGCCAGCCCAAGCUGCAGCCAGAGUCCCUUCCACGUGAACUGGUGAGAAGCAAAUAGGGGGUGAGAACCAGCCCUGUGCAGUGGGACAAGAGACCCUGUGCCAGCAGCUGCUCACCUGUCCACCUGCUUCAGCAGCUGCUGCCCUCCUGGCUAGAGCAAGACUGGGCCCUUGCUUUUGGUGGCAGACCCGCCUUUAUGUAGCAAUCGUGCUGACAGGUGGGCCAUUCCAGAUUCUCCCCGUGUGUUCAACACACACUGAAGGGGCAUCCACCGUGUGCCUGGCACAGUGGGUGCAAAAAGUGAUUUGGCAAACCGAACCCUGUCUCCCACGCUGUGGGAAAGCUGCUGCUUAAAGGAUGGUUGCAAUUAAGACAAGGAGCGAUGCCCAACACAGCGCCUUCCUACAAACCUGUAUCGUCCCGCUUUGGUGCUGCCAAAAGUGGGGUCCAGCCAUAGUAAGAAAGGCCAGGAUGGUGGCUGGACCACUGGGCAUAGUUCUAAGAGCCAGGAGGGCCGGGGUGGCCUCCUCGUUGGUGCAGUCUGCCCGCGGGGCCACCCCCGGCUCACCUGGGUCCCGACCAUACCGAGGGCCCACCAUGCAGGGAAAGGAGAGGGUGGCGAGCGGGCCGACCAGGGCAGUGCUGCUUCCUGGCUGGCAGCGUGGAGGCAGGUGUAGCAGGAUCAAGAGUCACAUUAGGACUGGCAGGGCCUUCGGGGAAAGGGGUGCCAUGGGGAUGUGCGUGCACAGGGCACCUGCGGGCCAAAGUAUCACCCUGGUAAUUAUUAAUACGGCCCGGGCCUUGCAAGAUACGGGGCACAGGGCCCUCCCCACCUCGGUUCAGACACAGUACAUGUUCCAGGCCCCCCAUCUCCCCCGGCUAGCUUUCUGGACCUUUGUCCUGGAUGACUUCGGCCGCUAUUCCGUGGACCUCUGCUACGUGGUCCUGCAGAGCACGGGCUCCGUCCCCAUCUCCACGGUCGUCGUCAGCGAGGCCAGUGGUAGCCGCACCAUCCUCCAUGCCCACAGCUUCCUGGUGGCUGACUUCGGGCAGCGGGGUGUGGACGUGUCUCAGGUGGCCUGGCAGAGCAGUGGGGAGACCCCGUGCUCUUGCUGCAUCGUCAACAGCUCCAAUGGCUCCCGUACCAUUGUGCUCUACGACACGAACCUGCCCGAUGUGUCUGCUAAAGACUUUGAGAAGGUCGAUCUGACCCGGUUCAAGUGGAUCCACAUUGAGGGCCGGAACGCUUCAGAGCAGGUGAAGAUGCUGCAGCGGAUAGAGCAACACAAUGCCAGGCAGCCUCCGGAGCAGAAGAUCCAGGUGUCCGUGGAGGUGGAGAAGCCGCGAGAGGAGCUGUACCAGCUGUUUGGCUACGGGGAUGUGGUGUUUGUCAGCAAAGAUGUGGCCAAGCACUUCGGGUUCCGGUCUGCGGUGGAGGCCCUCAGGGGCCUGUAUGGGCGCGUGAGGAAGGGGUGAGCCGGGGGAGGGUCUGCCCUGGGCUGGGGGGUGGGAGUGGGGGUCGAGGCUGGGGGCCUGGGGCGGGGGCGUGGGGGCAACACCCGGCUGAGUGAGGGUGUCGCAGGGCUACGCUUGUCUGUGCCUGGGCCGAGGAGGGCGCCGAUGCCCUGGGCCCUGAUGGACGGCUGCUCCACUCCAACGCUUUCCCGCCGCCCCGGGUGGUGGACACUCUGGGGGCCGGGGACACCUUCAACGCUUCAGUCAUCUUCAGCCUCUCCCAGGGGAAGAGCAUGCAGGAGGCGCUGAGGUUCGGCUGCCAGGUGGCCGGCAAGAAGUGCGGUCUGCAGGGCUUCGAUGGCAUCGUGUGAGCACCCUGGGCUGGCAUCCCUGGCUGCCGGUGCCUUCUCCCCUCCGGGCAGCCAGGCAUGGGGCUGCCCUGCUCCCUGGACAGAUGCAGGCUGCGGGAGGGUGCCACCUGUGAGCUGGCGUCUCACGUGGCAGAGCUGCAGAGCAAAUAAACCUCCUUCCCCAGAGCCA